rnacentral:rRNA from 1 species
AUGGCUCAGGAUGAACGCUAGCUACAGGCUUAACACAUGCAAGUCGAGGGGCAUCAGGAAGAAAGCUUGCUUUCUUUGCUGGCGACCGGCGCACGGGUGAGUAACACGUAUCCAACCUGCCCUUUACUCGGGGAUAGCCUUUCGAAAGAAAGAUUAAUACCCGAUGGCAUAAUGAUUCCGCAUGGUUUCAUUAUUAAAGGAUUCCGGUAAAGGAUGGGGAUGCGUUCCAUUAGGUUGUUGGUGAGGUAACGGCUCACCAAGCCUUCGAUGGAUAGGGGUUCUGAGGGGAAGGUCCCCCACAUUGGAACUGAGACACGGUCCAAACUCCUACGGGAGGCAGCAGUGAGGAAUAUUGGUCAAUGGGCGCUAGCCUGAACCAGCCAAGUAGCGUGAAGGAUGAAGGCUCUAUGGGUCGUAAACUUCUUUUAUAUAAGAAUAAAGUGCAGUAUGUAUACUGUUUUGUAUGUAUUAUAUGAAUAAGGAUCGGCUAACUCCGUGCCAGCAGCCGCGGUAAUACGGAGGAUCCGAGCGUUAUCCGGAUUUAUUGGGUUUAAAGGGAGCGUAGGUGGACUGGUAAGUCAGUUGUGAAAGUUUGCGGCUCAACCGUAAAAUUGCAGUUGAUACUGUCAGUCUUGAGUACAGUAGAGGUGGGCGGAAUUCGUGGUGUAGCGGUGAAAUGCUUAGAUAUCACGAAGAACUCCGAUUGCGAAGGCAGCUCACUGGACUGCAACUGACACUGAUGCUCGAAAGUGUGGGUAUCAAACAGGAUUAGAUACCCUGGUAGUCCACACAGUAAACGAUGAAUACUCGCUGUUUGCGAUAUACAGUAAGCGGCCAAGCGAAAGCAUUAAGUAUUCCACCUGGGGAGUACGCCGGCAACGGUGAAACUCAAAGGAAUUGACGGGGGCCCGCACAAGCGGAGGAACAUGUGGUUUAAUUCGAUGAUACGCGAGGAACCUUACCCGGGCUUAAAUUGCAGUGGAAUGAUGUGGAAACAUGUCAGUGAGCAAUCACCGCUGUGAAGGUGCUGCAUGGUUGUCGUCAGCUCGUGCCGUGAGGUGUCGGCUUAAGUGCCAUAACGAGCGCAACCCUUAUCUUUAGUUACUAACAGGUUAUGCUGAGGACUCUAGAGAGACUGCCGUCGUAAGAUGUGAGGAAGGUGGGGAUGACGUCAAAUCAGCACGGCCCUUACGUCCGGGGCUACACACGUGUUACAAUGGGGGGUACAGAAGGCAGCUAGCGGGUGACCGUAUGCUAAUCCCAAAAGCCUCUCUCAGUUCGGAUCGAAGUCUGCAACCCGACUUCGUGAAGCUGGAUUCGCUAGUAAUCGCGCAUCAGCCACGGCGCGGUGAAUACGUUCCCGGGCCUUGUACACACCGCCCGUCAAGCCAUGGGAGCCGGGGGUACCUGAAGUACGUAACCGCAAGGAUCGUCCUAGGGUAAAACU